GAUGAACGCUGGCGGCGUGCCUAAUACAUGCAAGUCGAGCGAACAGACGAGGAGCUUGCUCCUCUGACGUUAGCGGCGGACGGGUGAGUAACACGUGGAUAACCUACCUAUAAGACUGGGAUAACUUCGGGAAACCGGAGCUAAUACCGGAUAAUAUAUUGAACCGCAUGGUUCAAUAGUGAAAGACGGUUUUGCUGUCACUUAUAGAUGGAUCCGCGCCGCAUUAGCUAGUUGGUAAGGUAACGGCUUACCAAGGCAACGAUGCGUAGCCGACCUGAGAGGGUGAUCGGCCACACUGGAACUGAGACACGGUCCAGACUCCUACGGGAGGCAGCAGUAGGGAAUCUUCCGCAAUGGGCGAAAGCCUGACGGAGCAACGCCGCGCGAGUGAUGAAGGUCUUCGGAUCGUAAAACUCUGUUAUUAGGGAAGAACAAAUGCGUAAGUAACUAUGCACGUCUUGACGGUACCUAAUCAGAAAGCCACGGCUAACUACGUG
rnacentral:rRNA from 1 species